GAAAUGCGAUAAGUAAUGUGAAUUGCAGAAUUCAGUGAAUCAUCGAAUCUUUGAACGCACCUUGCGCUCCUUGGUAUUCCUUGGAGCAUGCCUGUUUGAGUAUCAUGAAAUCUUCAAAGUAAAUCUUUUGUUAACUCAAUUGGUUUCUACUUUGGUAUUGGAGGUCUUUGCAGCUUCACACCUGCUCCUCUUUGUUCAUUAGCUGGAUCUCAGUGUUAUGCUUGGUUCCACUCGGCGUGAUAAGUUAUCUAUCGCUGAGGACACUGUAAAAGGUGGCCAAGGUAAAUGCAGAUGAACCGCUUCUAAUAGUCCAUUGACUUGGACAAUACUUUUAUGAUCUGAUCUCAAAUCAGGCAGGACUACCCGCUGAACUUAAGC
rnacentral:misc_RNA from 1 species